AGAGAAAACUAUAAAUAUAAAACAUUAAUUAUAAUAUAAAUUAACAAAUGUAUGCAAUUCAAAUACAAUAUUCUAUUACAAAUUGUUGGCAUAUAAAUUCCCCAAAUAAGCAAUAUGAAAUGAAAAGUAUUUUAUGUAAAUUGAAAAGAAAAUAUUAUUUUUAAACAAGUGGAUUUUAUAAAAUAGUGCAUUAAGUUCUCCCUGAUUCAGCUGAGGGAUCUUUUUGAGAAUGUUUUCCCCAGCUGGAGAAGAAAUCUCUUCAUGGCUUCAUGGCAUAGUGUUGCUAAACUUAGUGUGAGUGUACUGUAAGCCAGAACCUUCAAGCUCAGCAAUCUUACAGUUUCUGCCUCUUAAGUAGCUAGGAACAUAGGCAUGUGCUGUCAUACCCAGUCAUUCAUGGUACAUGUGUAACUGGGGGAGAAUUUCGUUUGCAACCACCAUUGAAUUUUAGGAGAUGAUUCCUGGGAGCGUCAGGCACUCAUUUACCGAGCACUAUCUUGAGCUUUGGCAAAUAGGUUUGAAGGUGGAAGGCAGGGCAACACUGAAUGGCUUUACAUAAUAACUGGAGUGAGGGAAAUUCAGAAUUAACGACAUAGGAAGCCAUGAGGCUAACCCCUGUGGACAGAGGCAGGAUAGAGGAAUGCCCAUUACUCAUGAUUUGUUUUCAGUGCCCUCGAGUCGAUUUUGGAACUCUGCCCGGUCUUUUUAUGCCAUUCUCUCACCUUCUGGUGCAAUUCACAGGCUUUUCAUGGCCUAUUUUUUCAGAAGUAGGUGGCUAGGUCCUUCUUCCUAGUCUGUCUAGCCUGCAAGUUCCACUGAAACCUGUCCACCAUGGGUGAUCCUGCUGGCAUUUGAAAUACCAGUGGCAUAACUUUCAGCAACAUGCAGCCACCAGAGUAUGACAACCAACCGAUGAGUGGUGUGGUUCCCUGACAGGGAAACCAACCCAGGCUGUGUUGUGAGAGCACCCAAUCUUAACCACUAGACCACCAGGUCUGGCUUUAGUGAUGAUGGUGAAGAAAGAGGACUUGGGAGAGCAGAUAUGCAGGCUUAAUGUUUUAAAGUAGUUUGUUUUGGUGUGCGCUCAGAGCAAACAAGAGUGACUAGAGACAAGAAACAUGACAUAGGAAUUGCCUGGUCAAGUUCCAAGUUUACAACGUUAAAACUCAAACAUCAAGUCCAUACCAUUUUGUGUUCUCACAGUGGAGCAUCUAGUCUGUGCCUUUCUCUAUUGGGUAUAGUGUCAUGGAACACUCUUCGUAAAUAAAAUUAUUUAGAAUUUUAUCUCAAUUCUGGAAGCACAAUUCUCUCUAAAAUUUUUUCCAUAAAGUCUGAGCUUUGAAGGUAAAUUCUCCUCAGUCUUUUGGAACCUGAUUUGACUUAGUAUUUGGGUGCUGCUCUGAGUGAAAAUAUUUAAUUUCAAGUUUGGAAAUAACUAGUUAUGUUAUCAGCUUCUUAAACCUCAAAAAGAGUAAUAUAAUGCAGAUCAACACUCACUUAGGUAUACAACAUGACCAAAAUAAAAAGAAAUCAAUUAUUAUAUUGAUGAUUUCUCAAAGUGGUGAUGUUUCUAAUUGUGUCGUUCUCAACAUUUAUUAGCUAUUGUUGCUGUUAUUACUAUUAUUUUUACAAGAUGUUCCAGAUUCAUCUUUUAUCUUUUCUGUCCCAGACUGAAAAGAAAUACACUUGACUUUGGCUCUUACAAAUUUUUUAAAAACAAACAUUUUUCCAGUAAACAUAAUUUUUCAAGAGUAAAUAAGUGUAGUAAUAAGUACGUCACUUUGUGACAGAAACAGACUAGUGGACGGUAUUUAAAAAGGAAUUGAAGUCCAUUCUCUUCCCUUUCCCUGCCUAAAUACAUCAAUCCAAAGGCAAUUAGGAGGUGCUAAGCAAAGGAAAGUUCAUGCUUGAGGGGAAGAGUGAGGGAGCCUGACUGGGGAGAGGAGCAUGUUUCUGAGAGGUGAUAGCAUCCUCACAUGGGUCAUCCCCUUGGAAAGGUAGCCCUGUGAGUUAUUGGAGCCUGAAUGGGCUUAGGGGGUUGCCCACAAGAGAGAAUGGGCUGAUGUGUAGUUUGGGAGCCUUAUCAGGGUAUCAGAGUGCCCCACGGAGUGGUGGCCGAGCUUAUGGAGUCAGAGCCCAAGUGGCGUGAUGGAAGCAUCCAGCAGAGAGCAGCGCAGCGGUAGUCUGGGAGCUCCAAGGGGGCAGAGGGUGUCCACAAGGAGGAGUGGCUUGCCAGGAGGCAGGUUGUGAUUUAAGCAUCUGCGUAAGAGAGCGCCAGCUCAUGGUGUCAGACCAGAGCAGGGGGAAGAGGGUAGUUCUUGCAGAUGGGCUACCUUCAAUGAGGUGUUGGAACUUAUGAAGAAUGAGGGAGGCAUCUACUCAGGGGGCAGCAGGACUGACUAGCACGUUGGCUAUGUCAAAGAUCUAUGCUUUUUUUCAAAGGAGGGUAUGCACAGAAGGAGCUGUUCUAGUUUAGUAUCCUGAACUAUAGAAAUAAAAGGAAAAUUCUUUUAUCACUUAUGACAAGCAUGCAUUAUAUGUGGAGUAAAUCAUAUUGUUUAUUUACAUCUAGGAUAAAUACUUAUUCUCUACCUUUAAAUACACACUUAUUGACCACCCACCAUGUUUUUGGCACUUUAUUUGGGGUCAUUUCCUUUAAUCAUCACAACAAUGUUUUUUUUUAAUUCCUAUUUUACAAAUGGUGAGGGUGAAGUCUAGGGAGAUUAACACAUGCACUCUGUUCUCAAAGAGAUCCAUAAGGCAGACAGACACAUAGAAUUUAGUACCAUACUUUUAAAAGUGUAUUAAAUCAAUUUCCAUGGUGUCAUGUGGAAGGCAUAUUCAAGUCUGCAAUAGUUUUCAAACAUUUUUCUUUAAGCAAUACAAGUUUUUCUUUAAAAGAAAUGUUUGGGUAAGCACUGUAAGUAAAUCAAAUAAAAGACUUGUGCUGGUUAAAGUCCAGAGGUUCUCAAUCCUGGUCCCAUAUUAGAUCUAUCUGGGAAAUUGUUAAAUGCCUAGGCCUACCAUCAGAACAGACCCUCUGGGAGUGGAGCCCAGGCAUCAGUACAUCUAAAACAUUCUCCAGAUGAUUUUACUGCAAAGCCAGGGAUAAGCUGCAUUGUCACAGGUGAUGAGAAGCACUGCAGGUGACUGCUGUGUCAGGAGUAUGGAGGAUGACUGAGGGAGAAAAACUAGAGUAUGGGAAAGCAGGUGACACUAGUGAAAUAGUCCUAGACAUAGAAGUCAAUUUUAAUGACCUUCUCAAACAAAGGUUUAAUUUAUUAUAGCUAUGUAUUUUUCUAUGUGACCCAUAAACAUAUUAUGUAUAUUAUGACUUCCUGACAUCCCAAAAUCACAGACAGAUUGUGAGUGUCUGUUUAAGAACCUAGAAGUAAAAGACAAAUUUGAAUGUGUUACAGUGCAGAGAAAAGCCAGAUGAACAAAUUAAUUUAACUGCUUUUCUGGUACUAAAUGAAUCUAAGGAAAUUGACAGGUAAAUAGUCAUGGAAUAUUCUUUACCUCUGUUUGAGAGCUCUGAAUGCUUCACAGAGUACUUAGCUAUGUCAAAUACUUUGAAUGAGCUUGCCUGUUCGAUGUUCCCUAAAUAGGAGUUAAGCCAAGAAUGAUGAAUAAUGAGUAAGAAGGCUGGCUUUUAUAACAAAUAGUCAUAGAGUUGAAUGAAAUGUAAAUACUUCCCAACAAGAGCUGUAUUAUUGAAAUUUUUGAAGAUAAUCUUGGAAAGAAAAUAUUUUUAAAAGUCUAGGAAAACACCAUUUAGAAUGAUGGACCAUAAAAAUGGCUAUGCUACUUUAUUCUCAAUAAGCCUAUAUUCUAUUAAACUUUGACUUUGACUGUGGUUACAUACAUUAAUUAAUCAUUUUCCCACAAGAUGACGAAAAAUUAUAUCUUAAGUCAUGACAUAGUAAAGAGUUAAAAGUGUCAAUUUUAGAAUAAGAUAAGCUUGGGGUUGAAUUCUGAAUUGUGGCCCUUCCACUUGGAGGUUGUAUACCUCUGAAAUGGUGUUUAGUAUUUCACAGCCCAGUUUUCUCAUCUGUAAAAUAGUGUUAAAUGUGAUACUUACCUCACAGGAUUGUUGCAGAGACUGAAUUAGUUGACACAUGUAAAGUGUCAUAAACCUAGUCACUAAAACAUAGUCACCUUCAAUAAAUGUUAUGCUAUUAUUAUUGUACUAAUUCAACAUGCCAAUAAUGGAAUUCGGAGGAAAACAAGAGACUCCACGGGAUAGAAUAUACUCUAAAACAACUAGGAUGUUCUCCCAGAGUCAACAAAGUAAAGCAAAUUGAUAGAAAAUCAGCAUUCUCUAUUCAGCGAUCAUUUAAGUUCCAGAGGCAGUACGUAUUCCAUAGAUCUUUUAUUUGAUUUGAACUUUUAGAGAAUUAUAAGAAUUAGUGACCACUAUUGGCACAAGAUUAGAAAGCAGCCUGGAACCUAUAAGAUUUGAGGAAGUUGGUCUCUAGUAUGUAAAGCAGCAAACCUCCCAGACAUCUUUGGAGAACUGAACUCUUGGGAAUCCUUCUCACCAGAUUCAUAGCACUCUCGUUUCUGGGUCUUAUUUGAGACACUAAAUAAUUUACAUUGCCAUUAAAACUUUUUUAAAAUUUUGUCUGACUACUUCUAAUUUUGAUUUUGCAUGCUGCCACUAUAAUUCUAUUUUGUUUGUGUACAUUUAGCACUGUACUAUACGUUCUUUGAAAAUGGUGAAUGAAACAGAUGUAGGCUUUUCCCUCAGGGGAUUAACGUCUAAUAGGUAAAAUAAGUAUUAAAAAAGAAAAAAGUACUGGCUGACAAAAAUAAGUGUCAGCCUGUUUUAGUCAGCCAAUUGUUGUUUGUCUUUUCCCUCUCGUCAGUUAGAGAGAGAAAAACCCCACUGAAGAUCUUUACGAGCACACCAUAUUCAAAGCCAUCUGAAAACCUGACAUGGAGGAUUCUGAUCAACCAUAUUCCAGAAGGGAGCCCAUGACUGAAAAGCAUGCUCAGAGGUCUGAAAAUACAGCCACUGCCCUGUCUAUAGCUCAGUGCCCGUGUAAGUGCAUGCUAUGGCGUAGAUUCACUCAACUAAGGUACAGUAUAUCCAACCAAUUUUGGUACAUAGGUGCUGUGAAGCUGCAUUUUCGUGAGAGCUACCAAUGGUUCAAUUAAAUAAGAGAGAUUCUCAUGGGAAAGAAAAACAGUUCCUUUCUUAGGAAACAGAUCACUCCCUAAAUUCAGUUUGGAAGUUUAAUGUCAAAGUGGUAUCAAAGCGAAAAUUAUGCUGGACAAAGUUAAACAGUCAAGGAAGACUUUUUUCAAGACUAUUACAAUAGGGUAGAGAUGGAUCAAAGGCCAUCUAUGUUUGGUAAUCGGUCUUACCCAAAGGAAAAGUAAACUUUCUCAUUUCUGCAUAACAAAAAGUAGUUUUUCAACAUGGGGCAAGGUGCCCACUGAGGUUAGGCUCCCACCCUUCCACAGACUGGGAGAAGGAAUCUUGAUGAUUACGUUUCAGAAGUAUGGCUCUCAAUUCCUUGAGAAAGACAGUCCUGGGUUGUAGAACUGCCAAGAGCCUUUUUAAAGGAUCUAUAUCUCAAAAGGGUAGAGAACGAAUUUGAAAAUACAGCUUUUCUAAAGCAAAUGCUCUAAGAAAGGGAAGGUCAGCGGUCCAGAGGCAGAAAGAAGCCUGCUUAAAGUUUGGUUAAGCUGAGGGAAGCAUUAAGCCCUUCUUGGUCAGUGGGCAAUGACAGAACAGAACUUUUAAUAGCAAAAGAAUCUCCCUUUAGUGUGAUGCUACAAGUCAACCAUCAUAAAUCAUGAAGGUAGAAAUUUUGUGAAGUCAGAGAUUUUGUGAUUAUGGUUUAGAACUUAAUUAGGUCACCCUUAAAGAGUUUUAAAUUACCAGAACUUUAUACUAUACUGUCUCACCUCAAAACCAAUUUUUUCCCUCACAAACGAAAAGGAAUAUUUAAAAUGGCUUUCAUUUCAAUGAAAGAAAUCCUAAAAAAAGUCUUGCUUAAAAAACCUAUGUGAACGUCUGAAUUUAAAAUAACAAAUUAUUUUAUCAUGUCAUUGUUAAUCAUAUUUCAAAAGGGACCUUUGUUUUAUCCAAUAAUUUAACACGGAAUUUGCUGAAUAAAGAAAAUAGAUAUUAUGCAAUUUAUGUAUCGAACUUGAGUUCUACAAAACCCUUUGCAAACACUUCCAAAAAGGUGAGUUAAACCCAUAAAAGUGAUUCUUAUAUCUAGCCGUGCAAUCAAAUCACAUUUGGAGCUUUUAAAAAACACAAAUGCUAGGCUGCCCUGACAGACCUUCAGAAUGAGAAUCUCUAAGUGAGGUUUAUCUUUUUAAAAAUUCUUUUAAAGAUGUGCUCUGCAGACCAGCAUCUCCUGGGAGCUUCUUAGAAAUGCAGAAUCUUGGGCUUUACCACAUCUGCUGAUUUGGAAUCUGCAUUUGGACUAGAACUUGAUUGUUGACAUGUACCUAAAGUCUGCUCUAUAAGAGACUUUGCUGCACAGACAGGGUGAGAGGCACUCACCAAGUUAGGAUGAACUAGCCUCCCCUCUAUCAAAGCAGCGUCUCCAUAGAUGUGGCUUCUAAGUGUUGAGUUUUGCUUUCUAUUGAAGACACACCUUUAGAGGAAAAAUUUAGCACAGAUUUUUGCACCUAUAGACAACCAAAAAAAGAAAAUACAGAGAAAGAUGGUAAGAUAUUUACAUUAAUAUCUGGAACUUUUUAAACUUUUAAGAAUCUUAAAUGAGGAUUUAUUUGGAGAGAGCUAGCUGAAGGGAGCAAUCCAUUUGCAUGGGAAUUAGACUCUCCAAAGAUCCCUGAUUGACUUCGGCCUGGGGAAAGCUACCUCUUUCAAAUUCCCUAAGGAUACACUCAGGUGUUAAGGUCUAUAAUAUUGUCUCUCUUAACAGCUACUUAAAAACAAUUAGGAAACCUUAAAUGACUUCUGCUCCUCUGGGGAGAAAAACUUUAUUCAAUUAGUAGUAGGUAGAAAUAAGAUUUGUUAGUUUGCCAUAUUUUCCUUAGGCAAAUUAUAACUUUGUGUUUAGUUUUUUUCACUGUGUGCAUGUGUGUGUAUAAAUAUUCCUGAAGCUUAGAAUUUUAGAAUGUAAAGUAAAAAGGAAGAUGAAAUUUUGCUCAAUAAUGAUUAUUUCAAUAUUAUCACUCUAUUUACCUUUCUGUGCUCUACUUUUGAGCUCUCAACUGAAAGGUUAUAUCAUUCAUCUGACGAUGUAUUUAUAGCAAGUCAAUGGAAGCAAUUUUCAAAGAAAGUAACAAAUUUUCUUCUAAAAAUUCGAAGAAUUAAGAUUUCCUUCUGGUUUCCAUUCAGAGAGGCAGGGAGCUCAAAGAGGGAUGUUCUCAAACUUACGUUAAAAAAAAGGCAGACGAGGGGCCGGCCCAGCGGCCCAGCGGUUAAGUGCACAUGUUCCGCUUCGGCAGCCUGGGAUACACCGGUUUGGAUCCUGGGUACAGACAUGGCACCACUUGGCAAGCCAUGCUGUGGUAGGCGUCCCACAUAUAAAGUAGAGGAAGAUGGGCACGGAUAUUAGCUCAGGGCUAGUCUUCCUCAGCAAAAAAAGAGGAUUGGCAGCAGAUGUUAGCUCAGGGCUAGUCUUCUUCUUCUUCAAAAAAAGCCAGACAAAUAACAAAUUCAUAAUCUUUCUUGAAUCCAUUGGAAUGCUGAGGUUGCACAGCAACAAGUAACCCAUAAUCUAAGGAGGGAUAGGCAAGUAGAGAAAAGGCUGGAGCACUAGCUUUCUUGGGCAAGACAUAGUCAGCAGUAGGAGGAGUUCAGCUAGGGGAUUUGGCACACUGAUGGGCAUGCUGGUGAGAGGUGAAGCUCGUGAGGGCUACAAAUAUAAGAGAUGUCCUCGUCUUCUUGCAGGACUUUUGCCCACAAACUCCCCUGGAUGCUCACAAAAUAAUAGGGAGAAUUCUGAGAAUGUCUCCUUCAUGGUACAGAACAGGAAUUGGGGGCAAUAGCAGCUGCCAAUGGGAUUGGGGGAGGGGAACAUUGCUGAGAUAGUCAAGCCCAUCUCCCUCACGAAACAACAAACACUGUUGCUGUUAGGGCACUGGUGAGAAUUGCUUGCAGGUGAGGGGAAAAUUCUAUUUGUAGGAGAAAGUCAGCAGAAAUAUGGUGUCUACCUAAGACUCAGGCUAUGUUACAACGACGUAGAAUACCCCUGCUCCUCCACCACUAAGAGAGAAUAAAGAGAAUCUUGCUGGGGUGGGGGAAGGGAUGAAUAAACAGAGCAUAGAGGAUUUUUAGGGCAGCGAAAACUCUGUAUGAUAGUAUAAUGGUGGAUAUGUGUUAUUAUACAUUUGUCCAAACUCUCAGGAUGUACAACACCAUGAGUAAACCGUAAUGUAAACCACGGACUUUGGUGAUUGUUAUGUGUCAAUGUAAUUUUAUCUUUGCUAAAAAUGUGUACCAUUCUGGUGAGUGAUGUUGAUAAUGGGGGAGGCUAUUUGUGUAGGGGAGCAGGGGUAGAUGGGAAAUAUCUGUACAUUCCUCUUAAUUUUGCUGUGAACCUAAAAGUACCCUAAAAAAUAGUUCUAAAACAAAAAAGGAAUCUUGCUAGAGACAGAUCAUCUCUGAGGUGUGAUGCAGAGAAAAUACCUAAAAGCCAACAGUGGAACAGAUAUUGAGAAAAAAAAUACAAACAAAACAAAACAAAAAUAUCUGCAAAAUUAGCCCCUACUCUAAACAAAAAGUAAUUAUUUAGGGGAACUUGAAGCCUGUGGUGCACUAAGGGUAACCAUAGCAACAACAAACUCUUAAUUAGAGUAAAUCAAAUCUGUUCACUAAAGGCCUUGGUGAAAGAAAGGUACGCCCAUUUCCAGAUAUAAAGCUACUUACCACAAUCUUUACUAUUCUGUACAAAAAGUCCAGCUUUCAACAACAACAACAAAAAAUUAUGAAGCCUAUGAAAAGACAAGCUAAAGCCACACACUGGGCAAAGCAAUCAUGAUGCUAAUGUUGGAACUAUAUGACAGAGAAUUUAAGAUAACUGAGGUUAACACUUUAAAGGUUCUCACGGAAAAGGUAGACAGCACGCAUGAUCAAAUGGUUAAUUUCGCCAGAGAGAUGGAAACUAUUAGAAAGAAUCCAAUGGAAAUGCUAGAAGUGAACAACACAGUAACAAAGAUGAACGCCUUGGAUGGGAUCAUGAGUACAUUCAGCACAGUGGAAGAAAUAAUUGGUGAACAUCAAGACAGGUCAACAGAAGUUACGCAAACUGAAACACACACAAAAAUCUGAGUUUGUACUGAUCACAAAAUUUUGUUUUAUCCUUGUAACGAAGACAGGAGUGAGUUGACAUCAGCCUUAGGAGCAAGUUGUUUGAAAAGAAUCCAUCGCUGAUGGUUGACUUUCAUGCGCCUGCUUAUCAAAGUGGGUAGUCAUUGAUUAGGAAGAUUUAAAACCGGUUCUAAUGUUUACAUACUAGCAUGGCUGCAGAAAAUUAUGGGGACUUUAUUUAUAAAUUCUCAAUUCUGUGUGUGAUUCUAAUUGCUGACUUGGCCUAAGUUUAACCAAGAAUCCAAUAGACCUGAAAAUGUUCAAUAGAAUUUUUUUUUCCAGGUUGGCAUAGCUAGUCUUCAUGCUAAUCUAUACUUCUACUUGCUGAAUAUUUCAAUGUUUUUGAGACACUGAGAUAAAUCAAAGCAGAUUUCCAGUGUAAUACCAGGUUUUUAUUUUUUAUAACUAUGGGACAGAUGUUCUGGAGUUAUUCAGCCUCUGCCUCAGAAGAUCAAAGCCUCCAAUAUUUUGAUCAAAUAUUGUUUAGGAUUCCUCUCCCCACUACUAUAUAUCACAGACUCAGUCAAAAACAUUAAUUUCUGUAGUACUAUUCCAAAUUUACAGAGUAGUUCUAUUGCAGACAUUAAAAAUUAAAUUAAAUGUGAGAAGAAACAGCAAAUGACGUUUGAUGCAUUAUGGUGAUGCAGCUUAGUGUGUGGGAUUUUAAUUUUGAAAAUAUUGUAUGAGUGAGUUGUGGGAGAAUAAAAAUUAUCUAUUGCAGACAGAAUUCAUCUCACGAUAGUGUCUAUUUAUGCAAUUACUUUUGUCAGAAACUGUAAUUGACAAUAAUUUGCUUGCUAAUCUAAUUAAACUAUGAACAAAUGGUGUAAGAAAUGGUGAAGAAUUCUGGGUAGAGCCUUGGGCUCUUCUUGAUGGAUAUUACUGAUGGUACCAAGCACAUCUUUCUGAGUUAUUAUUCUCUGCAUUGGAUGCUGAAGAGAGAAUCAAAAAAUCAUUUUUGCAGUCGUUACAAGUUUAAACUCCCAAACAGUCUACUAGUGAUUUAAAAUAAGACAGUGUUUAAGGUGUGAUCAUAGGAAAACAAUAAAAAUAGGAGGAGUUAGGUCAUUGGCAAACUAGCAAAGAGUCUUGAACUAUGUCCUUACUGAAAUGUCCCCCUGCCUUCUGACCCUUAGGGCCCCCAGGUGUUUCUACCAGACUCCACAUGCAGUCUCACACAAGUCUUCUCUCUGAGACCAAAUAAGUCCCACCUCAAAAGAGUUCUGCCUCAGAAGCCAGUAGCCUUGGCAUCAAGCCUCACUUUUCUUCUCUAUAUGCUUAAAAUGAUCACAUUUUUAAAGCAAACUACCAAUACGUGUCUGGCAAGCAGAAGUGUCUUUGGGGAAACUACAGGACAAGCUAUUUUAAAUCAAAGCAGUUUCAGAAAAUCUUGCAUUCUUGAUCAUUGUAUUCAUGAUUUUUACUCAAAUAUAUGUAGAUAUGCUCCUCCCUUUCCAGCCUUUUUCACUCUCAUGUAGUCAGUAUAUUAUUUCUGCCAUUCACUCAUAAUCUACUUAUUUAAUCAAUUUUCAAUAAAUAUACAUUAAGGUCACACUAUUUACCCACCACAGUCCUAGGUGCAUUGGUAGUUUGCCAUAUACCUGACAAACUCCUACUUGAUUUUUUCCAGGACUCUGCUAAAUCCUUCUGCUUCUCGUGGCAGUUCACGCAUGCUUUUAUUAAUCCUUAAUUCGACUUAAUUAUUUGUUUGCAGUCAUCUAGAUGUAAACCCCACAAGAAUGAAUAUCAGGUCUAUUGUUUAUUCUAGCUUGUACCCAGCACAGCCCCUGGUGCAAAUUAGAAGUUUUCAAUAAAUUUUUGUAGAAUAAAUUCUUUAGUAUCAAGACCUGUUUCACAUUCAAUGUUGUUUUCCCAAGUUCUGGUAUAUAGGAUUCUCAGUAAGUGUUUAAUGGAUAAAGAAUUAAUGUACCCUAACCUCUUAUUUUUAAAUAAAAAUCUUUGGACUUUUUUUUAACCUUUAUUCAGACCAUCUGUUGAGUUUCUGCCACUUAGCUUUAUAUCCUCAUACUUGUUUCUGAUACUCUUGCUUACCAGAUAAGCUUGCAUCCCCUACCUGAGCUUCCUGUCUCCAAUUAUUAGACCUCCUGUUAGUAAUCUGCAGUUCCUGUCCCAACCAUUCAAAGUUCCAUAUCUAACCUUUUCGUUCUGCCAUAUUUUACUGCUGGCCAAGUCCUGGCAUAAUGGCCUCUGUUCAUCCUGGGCUCAGACCCCCUGGCUCAGGGGGGAUAUCCUGCCCUGAAUCUUGCUACUGGUGCCUGAGUUUAAAUGAGGCAACAAAAUAGCAUUUCCAAACUAGAGAUUUUGAGUUUGGUUAGUUCUAUAUCCUGAUUGUAGUCAACAGGUUCCCUAAAAUCCUUUUACUUCAUUCGUUUCAUUUGAAAUAUCUAUCUUUCCCAUGAAAAUCGAAAGUCUGUGGAGGCGCUGACUGUGCUGUAAAUGUCUUUAUCUUUCUAUUGUCUGUUCCCUAGCUGCCAUCUUACAUCUAGCACAGUGCAUUAUUUAUGAUAAUUGUACAAUAUAUAGGAAUAGUCAAACCCAGGCAAUAAAAUAUUGUGAUAAAAUCAAGUAAUAAAAUAAAAUAGGGAAAAAUUUGGAAGAUGAUUAAGUAUUUAUUACAUAAAUUAACUACUCUCAAAUGCAUGAAUUAUUUACAAAUCCGCAUUGUUAGCAUCUAGGAUAUUGCCAUGCUUGGGAUAGGAAAUUAGUCCCAUGAGAGCCUUCCAAAACAACUGGGUCUUUUAAAUCAACUAGACUAUUAAUUAUAGAUUUUGUAUUAUAAAUUUUGAAAUACAAUUUUAGUCAGGAUGAAAUUAUCUGGAGACCUUCAGCUACUAUGGCUCUAAAAAGAUGUACGAAACUAAUAUAUAAUUUAGCUAAAGCAUAAUAUUAAAUUUUAUAUUUGUAAAAGUCUUUAUAGUUGAAUAAUCAUAAUUGAGUACAUUUCUUGUUUAAUCCUCAUGACACUACUGUGAAGUAAGUAUAUUAUCUCCAUUUUCAGGUAAGAAGCUCGGGAAUGUUCAAGUGACUUAGCCAAAAACAAAACUCAACUCUUCUGGUGUUAUCUUUUGUACUUUUUUCAAAAUAAAUACAUCAUCCUCUGUUUUGAAGCUUAGAAAUAUAUGAUUGGCUAAAUCUUUGGGUUGUUUUUUUAAUUUAGAAGAACUCUUUCUUUGGUAGAUGAAAGCCUAAUACAAAUAUAGAUUUAAUUUGGGUCCAUAUGGUUCUUGGUCUAUUUUAAUAACUUAAAAAUUAUUUUCUACACUGGGGCUGGCCCCGUGGCCGAGUGGUUAAGUUCAUGCGCUCUGCUGCGGGUGGCCCAGUGUUUCGUUGGUUUGAAUCCUGGGCACAGACAUGGCACUGCUCAUCAAACCACGCUGAGGCAGCAUCCCACAUGCCACAACUAGAAGUACCCACAACUAAGAAUAUACAACUAUGUACUUGGGGGCUUUGGGGAGAAAAAAGGAAAAAAUAAAAUCUUUAAAAAAACAUUAUUUUCUACAGUAAAUUUCUGAAUUAUUUUAAAUGCACAAUGAAGACUAUAUAGGUAUAACAACCUAUCAAAACCAAAGUAAGUAUUAGAGCUAGAAAGAUCGGAGAGUACACCUAGAUCCAGUGUGUUAAAUGACUUGCCCACGGACACUCUUUUCAUCAAGAGUCAAGAUUUGGAAAUCCAAUUUACUUAACAUCUGACACACUUCUUUACAUAAUAUUAGAAGUCACAGAAAUAAAGUAAAUCUUAAACACUGACUACAUUGGAUGCUUCAUGCCUGCCUCCACAGGUCGAUUUAUACUGAUCAAGCACUAUUCCCAACCAGCAGAGGUCAGCACCACAUGCAUUUACUGACAUUUUUAUUAACCUAAGAGGUGCCUCACAAAUAAAGUCAUAGCAGAAGGAUGGGUAAAACUCAUGGGGUAAACCUGUUUUAUUUAUCAGGUAUACAGUUAGCUUUCACGUGGAUUUUCUAAUUAUCACUUUCCAUAAUCUAUUUAUGUUCAAGAUACAUGCUUUCAUAACUUGCCUAUUAUGUAUAUCUGCAUUUGUACCUUUAACUCUCAGUGUGAAAUUCAUAUUUAUAACUAGGAAAGUGGAAGCAAAGGAAGAAAGUGAUAUAUAUUUGGAUUGCUCUGUAAUUUGUGAGGACAUUGAUAUAUACCUCCAAUUAAAAAAUGAAACCACAAAAAAUCAGUCAAUACCUGCCAACUUCAUGUUGCAGUUUGACUUUUAAAAUACUGUUUAAUCUAAAAAUAUUUUUCUUGUUCAUAGAAAGACAAUCAUGAAUCACAAUCUCACCAAUUCAUAUAUUUUAAGGGUUUGGCUAAAUGAGUGAAUAUACAUAAAGUAUAGUGAUUUUCUUGUUUGUUUUUGGCAGUGUCAAGAUUUUACAUGAAAGUUUUUUUUUGGCGGAAGAUUAGCCCUGAGCUAACUACUGCCAAUCAUCCUCCUCCUCUUUUUGCUGAGGAAGACUGGCCCUGAGCUAGCAUCCAUGCCCAUCUUCCUCUACUUUACACAUGGGAUGCCCACCACAGCAUGGCUUUUGCCAUGCAGUGCCAUGUCCGCACCCAGGAUCCGAACUGGCGAACCGCGGGCUGCCGAGAAGCAGAACAUGUGCACUUAACCACUGCACCACUGGGCCAGCCCCUCACAUGAAAGUUUUAACAUGAAGAGGCUUUGUAAGGAAAGAAGCACAAAUAAUUAUAUUUCUCCUGCAUGCCCAGCUCAUAUGUAAUUUUAUACUUGAAAGUAAAUUUAAAGAGUUUUCUAGGCCAUAUUCAUUUUAUGUCAGGAAAUGAAGACCCAAAAAGGUUAAAGGACUUUAUAUGAAUUUUCCGAAUUCCCAGAUCAUGGUAGUUUCAGAAGGUAAAAAUUAGAAUCUAUUUCUCCUAUAUUGCUAUCCUGAGUCCCUCCUGAUGCAAUGAAAAGACUCAAAGCCGAUACGCUACAUGUUAAAUUAAUCAUUCUCUAUCAUAUUAAAAAUUAUUGUAUAACCACUUCUUUGACAGUAAAAUCUACUCUUAAAAUCAAGAGCAUAGGGGCUGUCCUGGUGGCACAGUGGUUAAGUUUGCACAUUCUUCUUCAGCAGCCUGGGGUUUGCCGGUUUGGAUCCCAGGUGCAGACAUGGCACCGCUUGGCAAGCCAUGCUGUGAUAGGCGUCCCACAUAUAAAGCAGAGGAAGAUGGGCAUGGAUGUUAGCUCAGGGCCAGUCUUCCUCAGCAAAAAGACGAGGAUUGGCGGCAGAUGUUAGCUCAGGCUAAUCUUCCUCAAAAAAAAAAUCGAGUACAAACUGUAUCUUAUGAAAUACUACUUAAAAGAAAGUUGUAGUGUCUAUUAUUUUAAUAUUUAUAUUAUAGACUAUAACUUAUAAAUAUUACAUAGAAAUAAGUGGGGAUGGCUGUUCUCUUAUGUAAUCUGAUUAAUCAAUCAAUGAAACAUUAAAUAUCUUUUCAAAAUUACACUAGGAUUGGAAGACACAAUGUCCUAAAUCCUUAAAUAAAUUUAUGAUUUAUUUGGGAAGAUAGGACAGAUUUAUAAAAAUUCAUUAACUCUACAGAACUGACACGUGUCCAAUAAAUAUAAUUUGUGUUGGAGUUCAUAAGGAGGUGGAAAUAUCUUGGCAGACCUAAUCUAGGAAGAUUGGGAAGCUUAGUUAGGACUUAAGGAGACACACAUUUCAAGAGGUGAGACAUGAAGAGGGGUAGACAAAUGAAGUGAAAGACAAGAGAGGCAACCAAGCUGAAUUCUUCAGUUUGAGUUAUGUGUUUCAGAGUAAAUCAAAAUGAACCUAUUUGGAUACUUUAAACUAUUUUGUGCAGUGUAUCUUACGUCAUUCAAAGGCUAGUGUUCCCUUUUAUUUUAAGGGUCAGGGAACUUGUCUAGUUGUCAUUAUUUUACAUGAUUUCAAUAAAUAAGAGGUAUAUUAAAGAAAUUGUCUGAUGUCCUAAAGCAAAGGCAGUAUCCACUAUUCAAAACAUCAAAAUUUUUAUCCCCUGCAAACAUCCCGCAGCCUGAAAGACAGCUUAGUCCAAUAAAAUAAUUCAAAAUUUCAAAAUUUCCCAAAUAUACAUGCAGGAAAACCCACACAUAAGUGCAAGUGAGGGAGAUAUGGAUCAGUAACAUGUGAAAAAGACCUAUGACAUAAUAGUGUACUGUGGCUACCAAUAGAGUAAAUUUGAUGUAAAUAUCAUAUUUGGGAAAAUUGAAAUCACUUAUAUCUUGUAGAAGAAACUAAUGCCAUGUCUGCCUUUAGGUACGGUCGUAAAUUUUAUGUUUCAAAUAGAUAUUUACUUUUUUGAUUAUUAAGGACCAAUUAGAAUUUUUAUCUGACUCCAUUUGCCCAGCAUUGCUAUAUGAAUUUAUAAGGAAGAUUCUUUGGAAGAUUUGAGAAAUAAUUUGACAUUAAUUUUCAAUGAAAUUUUUGAAAAAUAUAAUGGAAUGGAGAUGAGACAUUCUGCGAGAUACCAUGAAAUAUUUCUUUUCCUAAAAACAUCACCAGAUUCAGAAAUAAAUUAAACUGGAUUCCUUAAACUUAGAUAUCUACCAACGCUUUUCAAAAAGAAAAAUAGACACUAAACAGACUAGUGUGUGUCGGGGAGGUGUCUUUCUAUAUGUGGGUAUAAUUGGAAAGCAUUUUAAAAAACAUUUUGCAUAAGUGAUUUUUUUUAAUGUAAUACUUUACAGUUACUACUAAAAACUAGAAGGGACAUGAAGCAAAGGAAGUUUUCAGGAGUGAAGAUCUGAAGUUCAGUUAUCUGAUAUUAAAGAAAAAAUGAAUCAGCUCAAAUUUCAUACAAAAAUUUAAUUGCAUUUCAAUUGUUCUGCUCAUAUAUAAAUCAGUCUUUCAUAAACUAAAACGAUAAUGUAACAGAAUAUGGAUUUUGACGGCAAUACAAAAUCUCGAUAUGAAAUAUAUGGAUCUGAUUCAUGCAUUACAAUUUUGAGAGCAUGGUAAAUGUUUUCUAGUGUACACAGCUACAGGAAAGUUUAAUGGUUUUGCAUUUGGAAAAAAAUUUAUGAUGAUAUGCUUUCAAGAAAUGGACUAUAUUCAAAAUAAUAAUUGAGACAUAAAUAAUCAUCAGGUGAUGCUCAUUAAGAGCUACAGUGAGGAGUGUUAGAGAGGCAGGAAGACAAGGAAAAGGAUUUUCUAAUCUGCUGUGAGUUGCAGUGCUGUCAGGUAAGUUAAUGAGACUGAGUUGUAAGGAAGUAGGAGGUAGACCUGAAAGAGAGUGGAGUCAAAAAGAAAGGAGUAAUCUUAAUUGAGAGGACAAAAUUAUUCCGUAGGGGAAACAGAGGCACAAGGAAAUCAAAACUCACUCCUGUUUACUUCAUGCAGGAUGUCACAUCACUCUAGUCUCCUUAACCAGUCAGUAAGUUUAUUCAAGCAACUGAUACAACUUUUUUCCUAAAUUUGGUCAAUCAAUUACUCUUCAACCCUAUUGCAUAGUAGGCAUGUAAUCACAGAAUUAUUUAAACUGUUAUAAAGGCGUUUGCACUUUUAUUUGGUGAUGGAAAUGGAGAUGCAUACAGAAAAUGUACUAAGUCAAAAGAGAAAAAAGUUAGUAAUUUGUUGGACCUACGAAAUGCAGAAAGUCGUUACAGGUCUUAUUUUUAGAGAAAAAUGACUGGAAUAAAAAAAGGAAAUGAACACAGGAGAGAAUUUAGUCUUUAUUCUGUUUCCCUCUAUAUUCCUCCAUUUUAGUUAGUUUUCUCUUCUUUUUAUUCUUUUCCCAUUGAUUCUACAUUGCUCAGGGUCAAUCUUCCUCACCCCCAAAAAAGAAAAUGCUUAAUUCUUAUUUUUGCCCUAGAAUCUAGAAAGUGUAAGUGUUUUUUCUCUUCAAUUAAAUGGUCCUACUUUUCACAUAGCAGUUUCCAUUAACCUGAAAUGACGAAAAGUUUUAACUUUCAUUGCAGUAAAAAGCAAGCUGUGUAAAUGAAUACAGGCUAUCACAGGACUUUCACUUCUGGGACAAAAUGGUGAAGACUUGCUUUUCCAUGCUCCUUCUCUCAAAAUACAAUGAAAUAACCUGGAACUAACUAAACAGACAAUGACAGAAGGCCUCUGAAAACUAGAAAGAAAGGAGACUGACUAGAGACCUCAGUACUUGAGAAAGAGCAGUCCUGGCCUGAUGUGGCUGUUGAGCAUGCAUUGUAUAUCUGCUUUAAACACUUACUAUGGCAAGAACAAAUGCCCUUAAGAUAAAGGUGCAACUUCCCCAGACAUUGACAUUUCCUUAAGGGUAAGAAUCUUUCCCUAGGCUAGGAACUGAUUGCUGUGCUCUCCUUCGACCACCCAUCUCAUCUGUGACCAUCCAGCUCAACACAACAGACCUGCCACCCUGCCGUAUCCACUGAGACAGCAGACCUACCCGCUGUGCAGACAGAGCAGUCUCACGACUAUUGUAAAAAGGACAUUUCAAUCAUAUGUGAAACAUCCUCUUUUGGGGUAUACAACAACUCUGUACACCCUACUUCUUUUUUUUUUUAAUUUUUUUUUUGAGAAAGAUUAGCCCGGAGCUAACUCCUGCCAAUCCUCCUUGCUUUGCUGAGGAAGACUGGCCCUGAGCUAACAUCCAUGCCAUCUUCCUUCACUUUGUAUGUCGGACACCUACUAUAGCAUGGCUUUCCAAGCGGUGGCAUGUCCGCACCCAGGAUCCGAACCAGCAAACCCCGGGCCACCAAAGUAGAACGUGCGUACUUAACUGCUGAGCCACUGGGCCCGCACCUGUACACCCUACUUCUAUGGUGCCCUUUCUUCCUUCCAGAAUAAAGGACCUUGGCCAUGGUCCUCACAUUUUAGCUCAGAAUAAACCCACCCAAAUUUUCAUUUAUAGAUUGGUUAUGGAUUAUUUUCAUUGACAGUAUAUAAAACAGAAAGCAGCCUGAUGUUACCCUCAUGAAAACAAAUAAACAAACAUUCAAACAAUCCAAGGAUGUGCUCUUCUAUAAAGAGUUUGUCCCGCUUGCAUGGGGAGGGCUAAAGAUUUUCGUAUUUGUGUUGGUGCCCAGAGUAAAUCUCUUCUGGUUUAAGGACUUGGAAGACUUUGCACCUUAAUGGCCAGCUCUCCAAAGCAAAGCCUGUCUCUUGGCAUAGCCUAUUCAUCUACACAAAGCUCACAAUAUAACCUCCCGACAAUUUUCAUAAUAUCAAACAAGACUAACAUCAGAUAUCUAAAAGAGAAAACCCACGGAUUUGUUUUUGUAUAUGAAUGAUCAACCAAAAUUACCAGACAUUUGAGGAACAUGAAUAGAAUGAAAUGGAGCAUCUAAAUUAACCAACAAAGAAAUUGACCCCAGAUGAAACCAUAAUUAAGAGAACAUAAGAAAAUGUUUUUAAAAGAUCUAAUUUGUGUAGUGGGAUAACACAUUUAAAACUAUACUCUGAUGUUCAGAGAAAUUGUGACUCCUCUAUUUUCUGUAACUGAGAUAAUAUUCUUCAAAUGUUUUCCACUCAUUGGGAAGGGGAAAACUUUGCUGAGGAAUGAGAACUUAGAUUUCUAUCACAUUAAUAGCUUCUUUUUAGUUUAAAACCAUCGCUUUCAAGUUCAUGCAAGUUUGCUCCAGUUUCACCUUUUCUCCUUUCUAGUCUCCAACAUGGUAUCUGAGGAUGUUGCAGGGCACUCACUGGAGGAGGUGUGUACUUGCUGUCUUGUGGGAUCUUGUGCUCUCUCUGGGAUUUCCCUGGACUGUGAAGUGAUGAUGGCCCUAACCCAAUUGAUCAGGUCGCACGCACCCACUUUCCUUUGAAGCGGUGACUGGCUGACUUAGGGUUUGUUCGCUCUUGGCUCAGUCAGUACUGAGGUCCCGUCUGCUGAUUUGGUCCUUGCAGCCACUUUGGAUAUUUCUGACACCAGUCAUUGAAUCUGUUCUCUUUUACUUUCUGUUUUGAAAUAAUUUCAGAUUUACAGAAAACUUGCAAAAAUUAUACAAAAAUUCCUAUAUGCUUACAAUUAGAUUCCCCAAAUUUAAUUAUUUUACUAUAUCUGCCUUUUCAUUUCCUCUCUGUGUUUAUAGGAGGGUAUAAUAACUUUUUUGUACUAUUUUUUGAUAGCAAGUUGCGUGCAUCAUUCCCAUUUACCCAAAAUACUUCAGUGUCCAUUUUUUAAAGUCAAGGAUAUUCUCUUAUAUAAUCAUAAUAAAAUUAUCAAAAUAAGUUAAUUAAGAUUGAUAUAAUACUAUAUUUAAUGUAAUAAUCUUAUUAAAAUUUCAUCAAAUUCCCACAAAUGUCCUUCCCAGCAACAAUACAAAAGUUCUGGUUCGGGAUCACACAUCCCAUUUACUUGUCAAGUCUUUUCAGUCUCCUUUAAAAUGGAACAAUUCCUCAGUCUUUCUUUGUCUUUUGUGACAUUGAUAUUUGAAAAGUACAGAGUAUUUAUUUCAUAAAAUGUCUCUCAAGGGUUUGUAUGAUGUUUCCACGUGAUUACAUUCAGGUUAUGUAAUUUUGGCGGGAACACCAUCAAUGACUACUUUUUGAUUUCUAGACGAAGCUGUUUGCCCUGCAGCAAGUAACUACAAAGUCACUUUGUGCCUGGAAAGAAACGUUCUGGCCAACAUCAUCAGCAACUUUUCUGCUUUUACACCAACCACAAAGGAAUUCAGGAAAAUUUCCAUGCUAUCAUUAAAUAUCGUGAGUCUCCAUGGAGUGAAACUCAGGCUCUUCCACUGCUUAAAGAGGGAAAUUACCUGAUUUUAUCCUGAAAAGCCUUUGCCAUAUUUGGAAAAUGGAGAUAAAGAUCCUUCUGUUCUUAUCUUUCUUUUCAGUCUAACAUUCUGCCUGAGAUAGAAACAAGAGGAAGUUGCAUCCACCAAACAAUGUAAAAUUCGAUGGUUAAAAAAAGAGAACGUGAAGGAGUUCUUAGAAAUUGAAAACAUGACUGUUGAAUUAAGAAAAAAAGAAUAAAAGAGGAAUUCAAAUAUAAAGUCCAAGAAAUAUUCCAGAAGAUAGAACAAAAUGGAACAUAUGAAGAUAGUAAAGAUGAUCUAAAGGAAAAAUUUAAUUAAUCAAUGAAGACCCAAAAGAGAGAACACAAAAGUCUAUUAACAUCCAGAGUAUCAGUGAAGUGUAAAUAAAGACAUUCUCAGGUUCGUUGCUGAAUCCUUUUCGUAAAUUCAUUGGAGACGAGGUUGGUGGAAACAUGCUAAUGCUAAAUUUCUGUGAUGCGUUCACCUGUAUGGUAAUU
ensembl:lncRNA